rnacentral:tRNA from 1 species
GCGGGUAUAGUAUAAUGGCUAUUAUUACAGCUUUCCAAGCUGAAGAUGGGGGUUCGAUUCCCCCUACCCGCUCCA